rnacentral:rRNA from 1 species
AUUGAACGCUGGCGGCAGGCCUAACACAUGCAAGUCGAACGAGUGGCGGACGGGUGAGUAAUGUCUGGGAAACUGCCCGAUGGAGGGGGAUAACUACUGGAAACGGUAGCUAAUAACGCAUACCAUCGGAUGUGCCCAGAUGGGCGUAGCUAGUAGGUGGGGUAACGGCUCACCUAGGCGACGAUCCCUAGCUGGUCUUAGAGGAUGACCGGCCACCCUGGAACGGAGAGACGUUCAAGAUUCCUACUGGAGGCAGCAGUGGCGAAUAUUGCACAAUGGGCGAAAGCCUGAUGCAGCCAGGCCGCGUGUAUGAAGAAGGCCUUCGGGUUGUAAAGUACUUUCAGAGAGGAGGCGUUACUCGCAGAAGAAGCCCCGGCUAACUCCGUGCCAGCAGCCGCGGUAAUUC